rnacentral:tRNA from 1 species
AGUAAAGAGAGGAGUCGAACCCCUUUUAGUAGGACUACAGCCUACCACCUAACAGUCGGCCACUUUACU